UUCGGGCCGCCGCCUGCAGGUCUCGCUCCUGCCAGCCAAGGACUCGAGAAGGAGGGAGUCCCCAGUCCCGGCGGGGCGCCUGGGAUUCGCUUCAAUAUUUAGCACAGUCAAUACCGAAGCAGGGGCAGCCAGGUGGGAGCUGGGCGCCCCAAAGGUGGACCCCAGUCAGCAGCGAGUGGGCAGCGGGGGCCUGGCUCGCCCGCGCCCUGGAGCUCUCUGGCCGGCUCUCCCGGGCCGCAAGCAGGCACGGAAUUUGACGCCCGAGAGGCAGAUGGUCCUGGCUAGGACUCCUGAUUCUUCUCAGAUGGAAACAGUUUCUCCCGGUGAACCUGCCGGAAUUCUCAGUGGACUCGCACUUCAGCUUUUCCCACUGGCGCAUUUCACCAAGGCCGCAUUUACCGCUUUGAUGCAAAUUUGAGCUUCAAAUGGAGCGGGACUCCUGGUUGCAGAACGAGGGUGUGGGAAUGCGCAUCUGCAAGACCAGGGGAUGCAGAGCUUGCGGGAAGGAGGAAACUCACUAGGUUCAGGCU
rnacentral:lncRNA from 1 species